AACUCCUCAUUUCUUCACUUCCUCUCCCUUUCCAUCAGUAUAAAUCCAGUAAAAGCGCUAACCCACUAAAACAAUGGAUGCACAACCCAAACUAUUUUCUGCCUUUCUGUAAUUCAUAUUCAAAUGAGUUUCUUGGGUUUUAGUGAUUAUAUAUUAUAUUAACUAAGAGAAAUCCCGAUUCAACCUAAGAUCAAGGUAGAAAAAUGAUGGUGCUGGAGCGUCUACGAGGAGAAGCAUUGCAGGAGUUGAUCACUCGGCGUUUCAGGUAUUUAAGACUUUCUCUUCAAUAAAUUAAACAUUUAUUGCAAUUGGGGGGUUUUAAUUUAGGGGUUUUCGGGUUUAAUUUUGAUUUACGUGGGUUCUUUUAAUUUGGGGUUUUUUCUCUUUUCAAUUUUACAUCUGGAAAGUUCCUGGAUUUCUAUGUGAUUGGAUUUCUUGCUUCUAGAGUUUAAUAUUGUUCUUAUUGAUGUGUUUAUCCUUCUAUUUUAAUUAAUCAAUGAUGCUAACAUGGGUUUUGGAUUAUUUAAUCAAUUCAAAAUGAUAGGAUGUACUAUGCUGAGUUUCAAUAACGUGGAAGAAAAAAAAUAGAAAAAGAGGAUGAAGUAUAGUGGAGUAUAAUUUUCGAUUUCAAUGUACUCCUUUGAUUUCUAUUUGACCCUUUCUAGUUACUGCACUUGUUGAAUCUGUCCUAAAAUUUUCAUUUGCUUCACCUUCCUCACAAGGGUUUGAUUGCUUGUGUAAGAGUUGACAUUAGCCAACCAAAUAAAUACUCUCCAUUUUAUAAUUUUUGCAAUAUUUUUCAUUUUAGGAUGUAUCAUAAAAAAUCAAUUUUAACCAUUCAUUUCACUUUUUUCUUUCUCUCUCCUAAUAUAAACCAUUCAUUGUACUAUCAUGAAAGGAGUGAUUGUAUACCUCAUUCAGAGCACCAACAUUGUUGAGAACUACUCUCCUUUUAGAGCACCAUCAUUCAUGAGGAUAUAUAUAUCCUUUCCCAUUUUCUCUCUCCUUUCCUACACUUGACACAUCAUUUUCUCUUUCCUCCACAUCACUUCCCACUAUCUCCAUCCUUUUACUUAUCCUUUCCCUCAAAAUUCCCCAACAUCCAUGAGUAUCCUUUCCCACUUUCUCUCUCCUACUUACAUAUACCCCACCAUUUAUUCCCUUUUCAAAUUAUAUAUAUAUUUUUUUUGAGGGGAAUUAAUAAACUUAAUUAUUAUUAUUAUUGGUGUACAUGUUGUUAAUAAUAAUUAAUAUGUAGAUCAUUCUAUUAAUUAGACACAUUAAUUAAACGAGACGAAUUCUAAAACAUAAAAUUCAUUGAUUAACAACAUGAAAUACAAAGAUUAAACGACACGAAUAAAAAAAACAUGACUUACGUUGAUUAAAAUAACACGCAAAGAAAAAAUAACAAACAUAA